CUCUUCCAGAGGCUGCGCUCUGAUACCAAAACGCUGCGUUGAGGUCGUCGGAGACGGGAAGCUAGGGCUCCAAUCGUGGGCCGAUUCUCAAAUUCAGGCAGUUUAUUCGAUUGCCUAUGCCAUCGCUUCCGCCUCUCGAUCUCUAUUGCUAAUGAAGUGUUGUGAGUAAAUAUGAUGCAGCUUUUGGAGAUAGCGUUGGUCGAUGAAUUGGAUAAAGCACCUGACACACUGCCACCUUGCUCGUUGAUAGUCUGGUGGAAUUGUUACCAUCUGUUACCAGUGGUUCUUGUGGUAAUGAGUUUGAUAACCACACUAAAUGUGGUCCUCAAGGUGUCAAUUGCUCAAGGUCAGAAAUACUGCUGGAUUGUCUGGUUAUGUCGUUAGCUUCUGAGUGCAUACAAUAUGAUAGGCAGACCAGUGGGUUUGGUGGGCCCACUUUCCAGCAGGAUUUGAACAAAUUUGUUUUUCUAUCUCAGGCUGGGCAGUUGCUCACGUGGGGUGCAGUCAACGUUUGAUUGUGCUGUGUAAGUAACUCUUUGUGAUCCCAGAUAAUGUUUGAUGAGAAGAUGGUUGGGACAAACUUCUGUAAGAGACCGUCCUUUAGUUUGAGGAUUAUAAAGCUACUUGGAAGUCUCACGAAGAAAAUCCAUAUAUUGAAUAUGAUGCCUCAUUGGUGCAUGCCCUGUUCAUUUUGAGAAAGUUUCUUUACUUCACAGCUACACAUUUGAACAUCUAGUACAGAUGAUAUUCCCUUCCUCAAAACAAUGGAUGGAUGAUCUGAUGCAUCUUAUCUUUUUCCUUCAUUUGGAAGGAGUGAAACUGAGGCCAAAAGUGGAGAGGUCAUAUUCUAGUUGUGCAAAAGCUACUUGCAGCUCUGAAUUGGAAAAUGUGGUUUUCCAUGAAGACAAAGCUCAUUUUGGAGACCUUUUCUGUGAAAGUGGUCGUGGUCUACAGAAGGAUAUGAUCAGCCACCAGUUGUUGCUAACUCUAGCUCCGGCCAGGGUAUAUGCUAACUCUACCUCCAUCUGGUUUUCAUAUUGAGAUUCUUCUUGUGACAUUUCACUUAUAGUCUGAAGAGGCAAAAGCAUCACAUGAGAAGUUAAUAUUUUCUGCUCACAGAACAAUUGGUGGUCCAACUUCGGGUUCCAACACCACACGUUUGUCUUACUGGGUUUUACUGGUUUCAAGUUUGAUUUUAGUGCUUAGCCAUAUGAUAUUUUACCCACAGACUUGCCCUUCAUCUUUGCUUGUUUGUACAUCUACGAUCCAAGUUGAGCCACGCUCCAUUCUGCAGGUCACACCUUGGGGUGAACAAUCAUUUGUCAUCUUGAGUUUCCAUUGUAUUUGAAAAUGUAAUGACUGCAUUGUUUGAAGAAGAGCCUGACAUAAGUCCUUGAUUCAUCAACUGAUUGAUAUAUCUUCCCUCCUUGCUUCGCUGUCGACAGACUCGUAAUAUUGACAGAUUAUGCUUGAGUUGGGAUGACAUCGGUUCAACCAUGUCAUCAAUUCUGGGGUUCUGGAAGGCUAAACACGCGGCAGUUGUGGAGGAUCUUGGUAUUGAAAGAGACAUCUUCAUACUUUGUUGGGACUUUCCAACUAUUGGCACUGCAAAAGGACCGUCAGCUUCCUUUAGGGAUCAAUCCAGAGACUCUUAACACGUCUGAAAUAGCAAAUAUCUGUUACUUCAGUCGUUCAAUUCUAGGUCAUUGUGGUGUUGGUGUGAAAAAUAAUUUUGCUAGAGUCAUAGUCCGUCUGCACUUGGAUAAUUGGCGAGACUUCAAAUAGAAUUGUCAUGUAAUAUUGUGUAUAAACAUAAAGAGCGAUUGAAAA